rnacentral:rRNA from 1 species
AUUGAACGCUGGCGGCAGGCCUAACACAUGCAAGUCGAGCGAGCGGCGGACGGGUGAGUAAUGUCUGGGAAACUGCCUGAUGGAGGGGGAUAACUACUGGAAACGGUAGCUAAUACCGCAUACCAUCAGAUGUGCCCAGAUGGGCUUAGCUGGAAGGUGUGGGAACGGCUCACCUAGGCGACGAUCCCUAGCUGGUCGGAGAGGAUGACCAGCCACACUGGAACUGAGACCAGGUCCAGACUCCAACGGGAGGCAGCAGUGGGGAAUAUUGCACAAGGGGCGCAAGCCUUAUGCAGCCAUGCCGCGUGUGUGAAGAAGGCCUUCGGGUUGUAAAGCACUUUCAGCGGGGAGGCGUUACCCGCAGAAGAAGCACCGGCUAACUCCGUGCCAGCAGCCGCGGUAAUAC